AUGGAGGAUCUCCCAGAGUCACUGCUAGCAGAGAUUGUCAAGAAGGUUGCCAAGAGAAGUGAUGUGAAUUCGUUUUCCCUUGUGUCAAAGCAGCUCUACUCCAUUGAGGCAUCACAAAGGGGUGCCAUCCAUGUCGGCUCUGGCCUUCACCCUGCUAGAAAAGCCUUGGCAUCACUGUGUUCCCGGUUCCCCAAUUUGUGGAAAGUGGAAAUUGAUUACUCUGGUUGGACCAGUGGCCAUGGGAAUCAAUUGGGCAAUAAAGGCCUCCUUGUGAUCUCGUCAUGCUGCCCCUCGCUAACUGAUCUAACCUUAAGCUUCUGUUCACGCAUCAAGGAUUCUGGUCUUGGAUAUCUCGUUAAUUGCAAAAAAUUGAUGUCUCUGAGGCUGAACUCCGUCCAAAAAAUAACUUCAGGUGGGAUCCUCUCGGUGGUAGUUGGUUGCAAGACUCUAUCUGCUCUCCACCUUAUUGACUGUGAAAAUCGGGAGCGAAGGCUGGCUGGAGAACCUUGGUUGUGA
rnacentral:rRNA from 1 species